rnacentral:lncRNA from 1 species
AAUUUAUAGUAAUGCACGAGCAUAUGACUAGUAUGUAUUUAAUUUGUAGUUUACAGUAUAAAAAGGUAUUUGGAGAAAGAGAAAGAACACCAUAGAUGUAAGGUAAGAGGAUAUAUCCAUAAUUUAAAGUAUUUUUAGAGGUAACUGCUAUGGUUUUAUGGUGCUUGUAAAGCUUUUAGAAAGUUGCAGCCGACGAGGAAGACCACGGCACAUGUGCGCUCGUUUGGGAGCGGCAGGCAAUAGGCGGUGGCGCAACACCGGCACUAGGGGGAGGGCAUAGACGGGCAACGCGUUGCGUAUGAGACGAUUGGGUGAUAGUGCACCGCGCUGAGGUGCGGUGCGGCGGGACGGGACGCCACCAGACAGAAACAGCACGGCAGCCGCUAGAUGGCGGGCUUGGCGGCGCUAGGGUGAGGGCGAGAACAGGCGGCGCUGGGAGGAAGAGGAAUUGAUGUGAGUGGUGUCAGCAAAUACUCCAGCCGCAGGACACGGCAUCUCAGCCCAUGAGCCGAAACGCACCGAUCGGGCUCGUAGUCCAAGCAUAGAAACCUCCUACCCAGAAUGGGCUAGAUUCACCCUAGAAGACCGGCUCAUCUCCAG